AGAAUCGGUUUGGCUGAGAGGGAAAAGUGCUAGAGAUAGGCAGUGGAGCUCGGCGACAUCGCCGCACCAGAACCCUAACCCGACCCCUAGUGAGUUUUUCUGUCUUUUCCAUAAUUCCUUACGUAUUUUCACACCGUUUGAUGUGCGUUUCUAAAUUUUACUAGGAAACCUAAAAAAUUCAAGAGCCGAGAAUCAUCACGAAUUGUAGUGAAAAAGGCGGUGUUUUGG
rnacentral:lncRNA from 1 species